rnacentral:rRNA from 1 species
GGUUAAGCGACUAAGCGUACACGGUGGAUGCCCUGGCAGUCAGAGGCGAUGAAGGACGUGCUAAUCUGCGAUAAGCGUCGGUAAGGUGAUAUGAACCGUUAUAACCGGCGAUUUCCGAAUGGGGAAACCCAGUGUGUUUCGACACACUAUCAUUAACUGAAUCCAUAGGUUAAUGAGGCGAACCGGGGGAACUGAAACAUCUAAGUACCCCGAGGAAAAGAAAUCAACCGAGAUUCCCCCAGUAGCGGCGAGCGAACGGGGAGCAGCCCAGAGCCUGAAUCAGUGUGUGUGUUAGUGGAAGCGUCUGGAAAGGCGCGCGAUACAGGGUGACAGCCCCGUACACAAAAAUGCACAUGCUGUGAGCUCGAUGAGUAGGGCGGGACACGUGGUAUCCUGUCUGAAUAUGGGGGGACCAUCCUCCAAGGCUAAAUACUCCUGACUGACCGAUAGUGAACCAGUACCGUGAGGGAAAGGCGAAAAGAACCCCGGCGAGGGGAGUGAAAAAGAACCUGAAACCGUGUACGUACAAGCAGUGGGAGCACGCUUAGGCGUGUGACUGCGUACCUUUUGUAUAAUGGGUCAGCGACUUAUAUUCUGUAGCAAGGUUAACCGAAUAGGGGAGCCGAAGGGAAACCGAGUCUUAACUGGGCGUUAAGUUGCAGGGUAUAGACCCGAAACCCGGUGAUCUAGCCAUGGGCAGGUUGAAGGUUGGGUAACACUAACUGGAGGACCGAACCGACUAAUGUUGAAAAAUUAGCGGAUGACUUGUGGCUGGGGGUGAAAGGCCAAUCAAACCGGGAGAUAGCUGGUUCUCCCCGAAAGCUAUUUAGGUAGCGCCUCGUGAAUUCAUCUCCGGGGGUAGAGCACUGUUUCGGCAAGGGGGUCAUCCCGACUUACCAACCCGAUGCAAACUGCGAAUACCGGAGAAUGUUAUCACGGGAGACACACGGCGGGUGCUAACGUCCGUCGUGAAGAGGGAAACAACCCAGACCGCCAGCUAAGGUCCCAAAGUCAUGGUUAAGUGGGAAACGAUGUGGGAAGGCCCAGACAGCCAGGAUGUUGGCUUAGAAGCAGCCAUCAUUUAAAGAAAGCGUAAUAGCUCACUGGUCGAGUCGGCCUGCGCGGAAGAUGUAACGGGGCUAAACCAUGCACCGAAGCUGCGGCAGCGACACUAUGUGUUGUUGGGUAGGGGAGCGUUCUGUAAGCCUGUGAAGGUGUGCUGUGAGGCAUGCUGGAGGUAUCAGAAGUGCGAAUGCUGACAUAAGUAACGAUAAAGCGGGUGAAAAGCCCGCUCGCCGGAAGACCAAGGGUUCCUGUCCAACGUUAAUCGGGGCAGGGUGAGUCGACCCCUAAGGCGAGGCCGAAAGGCGUAGUCGAUGGGAAACAGGUUAAUAUUCCUGUACUUGGUGUUACUGCGAAGGGGGGACGGAGAAGGCUAUGUUGGCCGGGCGACGGUUGUCCCGGUUUAAGCGUGUAGGCUGGUUUUCCAGGCAAAUCCGGAAAAUCAAGGCUGAGGCGUGAUGACGAGGCACUACGGUGCUGAAGCAACAAAUGCCCUGCUUCCAGGAAAAGCCUCUAAGCAUCAGGUAACAUCAAAUCGUACCCCAAACCGACACAGGUGGUCAGGUAGAGAAUACCAAGGCGCUUGAGAGAACUCGGGUGAAGGAACUAGGCAAAAUGGUGCCGUAACUUCGGGAGAAGGCACGCUGAUAUGUAGGUGAAGUCCCUCGCGGAUGGAGCUGAAAUCAGUCGAAGAUACCAGCUGGCUGCAACUGUUUAUUAAAAACACAGCACUGUGCAAACACGAAAGUGGACGUAUACGGUGUGACGCCUGCCCGGUGCCGGAAGGUUAAUUGAUGGGGUUAGCGCAAGCGAAGCUCUUGAUCGAAGCCCCGGUAAACGGCGGCCGUAACUAUAACGGUCCUAAGGUAGCGAAAUUCCUUGUCGGGUAAGUUCCGACCUGCACGAAUGGCGUAAUGAUGGCCAGGCUGUCUCCACCCGAGACUCAGUGAAAUUGAACUCGCUGUGAAGAUGCAGUGUACCCGCGGCAAGACGGAAAGACCCCGUGAACCUUUACUAUAGCUUGACACUGAACAUUGAGCCUUGAUGUGUAGGAUAGGUGGGAGGCUUUGAAGUGUGGACGCCAGUCUGCAUGGAGCCGACCUUGAAAUACCACCCUUUAAUGUUUGAUGUUCUAACGUGGACCCGUAAUCCGGGUUGCGGACAGUGUCUGGUGGGUAGUUUGACUGGGGCGGUCUCCUCCUAAAGAGUAACGGAGGAGCACGAAGGUUGGCUAAUCCUGGUCGGACAUCAGGAGGUUAGUGCAAUGGCAUAAGCCAGCUUGACUGCGAGCGUGACGGCGCGAGCAGGUGCGAAAGCAGGUCAUAGUGAUCCGGUGGUUCUGAAUGGAAGGGCCAUCGCUCAACGGAUAAAAGGUACUCCGGGGAUAACAGGCUGAUACCGCCCAAGAGUUCAUAUCGACGGCGGUGUUUGGCACCUCGAUGUCGGCUCAUCACAUCCUGGGGCUGAAGUAGGUCCCAAGGGUAUGGCUGUUCGCCAUUUAAAGUGGUACGCGAGCUGGGUUUAGAACGUCGUGAGACAGUUCGGUCCCUAUCUGCCGUGGGCGCUGGAGAACUGAGGGGGGCUGCUCCUAGUACGAGAGGACCGGAGUGGACGCAUCACUGGUGUUCGGGUUGUCAUGCCAAUGGCACUGCCCGGUAGCUAAAUGCGGAAGAGAUAAGUGCUGAAAGCAUCUAAGCACGAAACUUGCCCCGAGAUGAGUUCUCCCUGACUCCUUGAGAGUCCUGAAGGAACGUUGAAGACGACGACGUUGAUAGGCCGGGUGUGUAAGCGCAGCGAUGCGUUGAGCUAACCGGUACUAAUGAACCGUGAGGCUUAACCUU